UACGUAGGUGGCAAGCGUUGUCCGGAAUUACUGGGCGUAAAGGGCGUGUAGGCGGUACCCUAAGUCAGAUGUGAAAACCCGAAGCUUAACUUCGGAACUGCAUUUGAAACUGGGGAACUCGAGUAUCGGAGAGGAAAGCGGAAUUCCUAGUGUAGCGGUGAAAUGCGUAGAUAUUAGGAGGAACACCAGUGGCGAAGGCGGCUUUCUGGACGAUAACUGACGCUGAGGCGCGAAAGCGUGGGGAGCAAACAGG
rnacentral:rRNA from 1 species